rnacentral:rRNA from 1 species
GCGUACGGGUGAGUAACACGUGACUAACCUACCCUCGAGUGGGGAAUAAUCUCGGGAAACCGGGGCUAAUACCGCAUAACAUCUACGGAUCAAAUGCGUAAGCAGCUUGAGGAGG